AGGUGUCCGCUGCGAAUGGGAUGCCCAGUGCCUAUGCCAUGCACUCCCCCUCGCCCAUUGGUGAUGGGUGCAUGGCAUAGGCACUACCCCCCGUCGUCGGGCUCGGAUGUCGGUUCGUCGGUCUCCGACCGUCGAUCCGACCUCCGGUCCGGCGAGGGGCGGUCAGGUGGGUUAGUAGGGCUGUGUUGCUAUUUUUCGAGAGGAGAGGGACGGUACAUCUCGGAUUUCGAUUUUUCCAACGUAUUCAAAGGUCAAACGGGCCCAUGGCUACGGCUGUGCAUUAGCGUGCGAACGGAGAAUACCGCGGUUGGUCAAGAUUUGGGUUUUAACCUCUCGGAGGAGCGCAAUACUGUCUCUACUUUCUCGUCUGGCCGUGGAUGGAGAAUAAUAAAAAUAAUUUAUUAUUCUCCGUCCUGACCCGUCGGAAAAAUUUUUAAAACUCGGUCUGGUGGGCUAGUAGUGCUGCGUUGCUAUUUUUCGAGGGGAGAGGGACGGUACAUCUUGGAUUUCGAUCUUUCCAACGUAUUCAAAGGGCAAUCGUGACCAUGGCUUCGGCUUUGGGAUGAGCGAGCGAACGGAGAGUACCGCGGUCGGGUCAAGGUUUGAGUUUUAACCUCUCGGGGGAGCGCAACACUGUCUCUACUUUCUCGUUUGGCCAUCGAUGGAGAUAUUUUUCAUUAUUCUCCAUCCUGACCCGUCGGAAAUUUUUUAAAACUUGGUCUGGUGGGCUAGUAGUGCUGCGUUGCUAUUUUUCGAGGGGAGAGGGACGGUACAUCUCGGAUUUCGAUCUUUCCAACGUAUUCAAAGGGCAAUCGUGACCAUGGCUUCGGCUUUGGGAUGAGCGAGCGAACGGAGAGUACCGCGGUCGGGUCAAGGUUUGAGUUUUAACCUCUCGGGGGAGCGCAACACUGUCUCUACUUUCUCGUUUGGCCGAUAAAAGAGAUUUUUCAUUAUGCUCCAUAUCAAAACAUCCCGAAAAAAUGCGGAAGAACUAGCAUGCUUCGGCUUGUGCUAACUUGAUGCAUCAUAAGGUUUGUUGCGGUGGGUUGGGCGUAAUGGAGAAUCGUUGGUUUUUUAAAAUGUUUUCCAAAUGUUGUCCCUUAAAGGUUUUCGUCCCUCGGAUGGUGUGUUUCUUCACGUGAAGCGGUGCUGGUGUGGUCUUGCUUGAUGUUUCCGCAUGCUCAGCGGUUCUAGUAAUCGUUGGGUUGUGGUUCGUUUGGUUAGGUCAUCGUCAGAUGUACGCAACUCAUGUGUGAGUGGUGGUCGGAUGGCAUGGGUCUGCAAGCUCCUUGCUCAGCGCAACGAAUUGUAAGCUCUCCAUCCUUUUCAUAGUCUUCCCCAAGCAUGGCCAUUUGCCUUGCGGGUAAGAUCGGUAUCCUGUGUUUUUUACCAAUUGAAGGGAAUUCGAUUGUUUUCGUUUCCUUAAUUCGCUCGGUUCCUUUAGGGGUGUUGGGUGGACGAUAGGCUGACCUCGUGUUCCAGGUACAUCUCGCAUUUUUGUGUGGUUACCGUGGCCCAUGGGGUUAUGCUUGUUCUCUUGGAUGCGGACCGUUAGUUGUGGGCGAGGGGUUACGACCUCCAUUCGUCCAAGCUAUUAUGCAUUUGUCAAUCGACACGAACGACUGCCGCACUCGUCUUGGCUUUUUAUAGUUGAAUGGCUGUACAAUGUCCAUGCGAGUGUCGGUGUCGUGAAGGAAUGC
rnacentral:misc_RNA from 1 species